CCCCUAAACCAUUCAUCAAAGAAGGGUACUUUGGCAUGACUAACAUCCAUUCAAAAUCAAUGUUUUGAAAAUCUUUUAAAAUCUCUAUCUGUACUGCCGAGGAAUCAUGAGAAACUUAACGAAAUCCUUUUAUGAAAACUUUGUUGAACAUAACAAACUUUACUUUGAUAUUCAUAAACUGAAAUUGUACAUGCUUACAAACUAUAUUUACAUACCUUUGGUACUCACCUUAUGAAGUUUAGAACUCCAUAAGUGAUUACCUUAUUACACGCUUUCCUAUCUUCAAGCUAUCUAAUAUUUUUCUGAAUACAAGUAGUGUAUACAGAUUACAAGGAAUUUUUCUCUAAUGUGUUAUCAGAG
rnacentral:lncRNA from 1 species